rnacentral:rRNA from 1 species
AUUGAACGCUGGCGGCAUGCCUUACACAUGCAAGUCGAACGGCAGCACGGGAGCAAUCCUGGUGGCGAGUGGCGAACGGGUGAGUAAUAUAUCGGAACGUGCCCGGUCGUGGGGGAUAACGUAGCGAAAGCUACGCUAAUACCGCAUACGAUCUACGGAUGAAAGCGGGGGAUCGCAAGACCUCGCGCGAUUGGAGCGGCCGAUAUCAGAUUAGGUAGUUGGUGAGGUAAAGGCUCACCAAGCCGACGAUCUGUAGCUGGUCUGAGAGGACGACCAGCCACACUGGGACUGAGACACGGCCCAGACUCCUACGGGAGGCAGCAGUGGGGAAUUUUGGACAAUGGGCGCGAAGCCUGAUCCAGCAAUGCCGCGUGCAGGAUGAAGGCCUUC